UUAUAUAAAUAUAAAAGUUAUUAUGCUAGAACUAGUAACAAGAAUUUGUAUUUCUCCUAAAUGUAAGCAUAAACCAGAAUGAACCCCUCACUGCUCAUUAACAUAUAUGACUAUAUUAUAGUAACCUUCCCCCGAAAAUUCUAUUAACCCCAAUGUUAACCUCACACUAGAACAUUUUAGGAAAGAUUAAAAAAAAAAGAAGGAACUCGGCAAAUUAUAGCCCCGCCUGUUUACCAAAAACACCGCCUCUUGCUUCCUAUAAGAGGUCCAGCCUGCCCAGUGACAUAGUUUAACGGCCGCGGUACUCUGACCGUGCAAAGGUAGCAUAAUCAUUUGUUCUUUAAAUAAGGACUUGUAUCAACGGCAUCACGAGAGCUAUACUGUCUCCUUUUUUCAAUCAGUGAAACUAAUCUCCCCGUGAAGAAGCGGGGAUUAAACUAUAAGACGAGAAGACCCCAUGGAGCUUUAAGCAGCAUACUCACCUCAUACUUCUAUUUUCCUCACAAUAAAAUUCCUGAGUACCAGCUUUAGGUUGGGAGGACCACGGAGUAAAAAUUAACCUCCAAGACAAAUGGGCUUCGCCCUUAUCCACGAACAACAAUUCUAAGAAUUAUUAUACUAAUGCUCAAUGACCCGAUAAUUCGAUCAACGAACCAAGUUACCCUGGGGAUAACAGCGCAAUCUACUUUGAAAGCCCCUAUCGACAAGUGGGUUUACGACCUCGAUGUUGG
rnacentral:rRNA from 1 species